rnacentral:rRNA from 1 species
GCGGGCGUAGCAAUACGUCAGCGGCAGACGGGUGAGUAACGCGUGGGAACGUACCUUUUGGUUCGGAACAACACAGGGAAACUUGUGCUAAUACCGGAUAAGCCCUUACGGGGAAAGAUUUAUUGCCGAAAGAUCGGCCCGCGUCUGAUUAGCUUGUUGGUGAGGUAACGGCUCACCAAGGCGACGAUCAGUAGCUGGUCUGAGAGGAUGAUCAGCCACAUUGGGACUGAGACACGGCCCAAACUCCUACGGGAGGCAGCAGUGGGGAAUAUUGGACAAUGGGCGCAAGCCUGAUCCAGCCAUGCCGCGUGAGUGAUGAAGGCCCUAGGG